AAAUGCUAAAAACAAUAAAGUGAUCAAACAUUUUUCUAUUUGUUACUUAAAAGUAAAAGAAACAUGGGUGCAAUUCUCAAAAUUGUUUAUGUUAUAAUCGUGUAUCUUUUCCUACUUUAUGGUGUAAUCGAAAGCAUACACGAUCGUGAAUGUUAUAUUGAUGGUGAUUGUCCAAAAUGCGAACGACCUUAUUUUAAGAGGUGCACUGCUUAUGAAUGUUCAUGCCGUUAAAAGACACGUCUUUUACAGGAUAUGGACAACAAAAAAGCCACUGCAGAAUAAAUUAUAAUGAGUUGUAAUAAAUAAUAUGAUCAUGUGAAGUCAUAAAUAAAUAAAUAACGAUAAUAUGAUCAUCUAAAAUAAUAAUUUAUUUUAGUUUUAUAUUUAAUAUGAUCGUUUAGAAAAAAAAAAUAUUUAAUACGGUUGAUAAUGAUGUGUGAUAUAUAGUGAACAAAUAAAUCAUCAUAUAUUAAGGUUGUUAUGCUUAAAGUUAUAAUUAUCGUACAAGUGAUGAAUCUAUUAGAUACAAUACUAACGAUAUAACUCAUGUAAUACUCUAAACACAAAGUAAUACAUACAAUAAAUUAUCCUAUA